rnacentral:rRNA from 1 species
GCAAUGGACGCAAGUCUGACCGAGCAACGCCGCGUGAGUGAAGACGGUUUUCGGAUCGUAAAGCUCUGUUGUAGGGGAAGAACGUGUGUAAGAGUGGAAAGCUUACACAGUGACGGUACCCUACCAGAAAGGGACGGCUAACUACGUGCCAGCAGCCGCGGUAAUACGUAGGUCCCGAGCGUUGUCCGGAUUUAUUGGGCGUAAAGGGAGCGCAGGCGGUUUAGUAAGUCUGAAGUUAAAGGCAUUGGCUCAACCAAUGUAUGCUUUGGAAACUGUUAGACUUGAGUGCAGAAGGGGAGAGUGGAAUUCCAUGUGUAGCGGUGAAAUGCGUAGAUAUAUGGAGGAACACCGGUGGCGAAAGCGGCUCUCUGGUCUGUCACUGACGCUGAGGCUCGAAAGCGUGGGUAGCGAACAGGAUUAGAUACCCUGGUAGUCCACGCCGUAAACGCUGAGUGCUAGGUGUUAGGUCCUUUCCGGGACUUAGUGCCGACGCUAACGCAUUAAGCACUCCGCCUGGGGAGUACGACCGCAAGGUUGAAACUCAAAGGAAUUGACGGGGGCCCGCACAAGCGGUGGAGCAUGUGGUUUAAUUCGAAGCAACGCGAAGAACCUUACCAGGUCUUGACAUUCCGAUGCC